GCUAUUUUCAUCAAAAAAGAUAAAUAAUGGAGAGUUGGUAACCCUUUUAUAAUUUUAAUACGCGAAAACGACCCCCAGGUGACUCCUUGAACUGAUUGGUUGUGCUAGCUAGCUAGCUGAGUUGAGCUAGGUUUGGUUAUAUUAGCAUAGUGUUAGCUGAUAUGCUAAAGACGGACGUCUCACCUGUCAAACUGGGGCUGCAGUGUGUCUAAAUGGAGGAAUGUAUCCAUUAAAAAGGAACCAGGUUGGAAGAACCAAAGGACUGGACCGUGUCAAAACGCAGACUGAUUCCUAUCCUGUGAAGGGGACAUAAAUCUUCCACGGUGUGACGACUCUUGCCAAAAAAAAAUGUGACUCCUGAGGAGCCAGAGGCAUGCAGAGACUCGACAUGGAAGGAUCCACAGGGUAAAACUUCCAUGCAUGGCAUAUCCAUCUCAGCACUUAUUGCCAGGCAACCAGCAUUCAUUGCCUCCAGGAGGGACAUCUGGCCAUAUGGCCGGUAAUCAUGUACCCUCCAUCUCCAAGCAGAAAAUAAUUCCUCAAUUGGGUUCAGAAAAGGAAAUGGAGGAUUGCAUCAUCAUGCGGGGCUGUGCUGCAAACCAUUCGUUCACAAGGUGAGAGCGGUGGAAGGCAACUAUGUCCCAAAUGAUGACAUACAGAGUCAUGGCAGGCCGCAACAGCCCUC